GUGGAGCUUGAUCUUGUAAUUCUGGUACAACUCUUCAAUCUUCUGCAAUCGGAUAUCUCGAGCCCACUCAUGAUCUGAAAAAUCGUACCUCCUCUGUACAAAAUUAUCAAAAGUCAGUUAUAAAAUUAUUCUAAUCAAACAUAGUGUAAACUUAUCACAUGUAUAUAUAUAAUUAAGAUACACGUAUCCAAAUUUUCUUUCACACUCGGUCCUUGACACCAGCGUCCAUCAAUCACUAGUCUACGAGCAGUACGGAAAUGAUGUCGGACUGCCUCACAAGCACUCC
rnacentral:lncRNA from 1 species